rnacentral:lncRNA from 1 species
UACAAUAACAUAAUUUACAUUCAUAAGUGUAAUAUAGAAAGAGUUGAUUAUUACAUAACCGGGUUCUAAGUGCUUAAACUUAUUACAUCACAGGAUGGCAAAACACCUUCCAAAGGUAGUUCUUAGUUUUCUUCCUCCUGCUUUGGAACAACCUUGGAGUAGAAACAACAGAACUCAGCAGUUUCAUCACCUACAACAACAUGGGUUUGAAAACCCUGAGUAUGGAGUGUACUUUCGCAAGUCUUACCGGUUUAAGGAAAAAAACUUUCAAGGAUAUGCUGGCCUUUAGGAACCAAGGUAAAGCUUAUCAAGAUUCAAAGACUCAUUUUGCAGAAAAGCUUACUAUGAGUGGAUCCUUAAGAAUUCAUUUUACUCAUCAGGUUAAGUAAUUACCUGCAUCUAGAUUCCUUUCUAUUCUUAGAUCAAGCACUUGGCCUAUUCUAGCCAUCUUUUAUCACCCCUUCAGUUCACUUAUCGCUACGUGUAGGGCAGUGACCAAGUCUUCAUGUCCGAGAAUCUCCAACCACACGACAUAUGUAGCACUUAACCCUUGCAUAUGUCAACUCGCACUCGGGUUUCUCAAGACCAGAAUGGGUUCACGCCAACCGAGACAGCAGAUACUCCAUCGUUCAGCCUCUUUCCACGGAGGGUACAUGCUACUCUCGUCAUCUCUCCACUCCUCUUGCGUGGUGGCUUUUCUGGUAUUGGUCUGACUGAGGCAAAGCUUACACAUGAUGAGGCAUGUGGCUAGUUAAAAGGCCCUCGAUCAUCAAGCCUCGAUCGGCUCGGUCCUUAAACGACUCAGACGAAGAAACUACACCAAGACUUCCUUCUCGUGCAAGCACCCACCCGGUCUCGUCUUUAUCAUUUUCACCCAAAGUUUGGUACUUGAUAGAGGUACGCUUUUCCAAUGUUGAACCCAUCACGGCCGUGGUGGAUCCACCAUCAUAAGUCUUUUCUUUGUAAAAAUCCCCAUCCAGUGUGAAGCAUCAUCUUUUUCAAAACAAAACAUUUUGUUUUCUACAACAAGACAUCAUGAAAAUCCUUAUCAUAAAGAGGUAUCACGAAAUGAUAAUCAUUUUUUUCCAAGGAAGGAAAAUGCAUCAAUUGUUUAGCACACAACUCAUAUCACCUAAUGCAUCAUAUAAGGUGAUAAAGAUUUUAAAACAUCAAGGAAAGGGUAAAAUGCAACGGGGCUUGCAUUCUGUUGUAGGAGUUUCUAUUUCCACACCGUAGAUGUCGAAAUAAAAGUUGUUUUCCACUGGAGGAUUCUCGGUCUCGGAGACAACUUCUUCUACUACGGAUUCUUCCUCAUGUUUUAUACAUGAUAAUACAUGUACAUGAAUGCUUAUGCUAUGUCAUGAAUAUCCAAUCAUACAAUAGAAAUAUAGUAAGUUGCGUCUUGAAUACAACUUUCCUUCACGGUACGAAUCAAUCACUAAGAUUUCCUAGUUAGGUGUUCCUUUAGGAUUAUUAUUAAAUAAUUAAUCCUAAGAAGCUAGUUAUUGGGUUUUCUGCUCAAACAGUUUCCAAACUAUUUCAAACUUCACUUAGGGUCUCUGACCAUCAUAUUAACCUACCCAAAAAGUUUUAUGAUUUUUGGAAUCACUAAACUAUUUCUAAAAUUCUAAAAUGAUUUAUUUAAGCACCUUUAAAAGCUACAUAAUUCCAGGUUUGAACUAAAAAUCUUGGAAUUAUUUUUAUUAAAUACUACUCGAUUUUGGAAAUCUAACAAAAUUGGUCUCAUGAUUUUACCAAUUUUCUACUAUUUCCUAUAAAUUUCCCAAGUUAGCAGUAAAAAGAAAAGAAUAAAAGCAUGAAUAGUAUCGGGCCGGAACCAGCCUAAUCGGCCCAAACCCACGCAGAAACCGGCGCGCCCGCUCCCACGCUAAUCAAUUUGCGUCGGGGUCCCUAGGGUUUUAAAUAUCCAAUAAAGUGUCCCUGAGUACUAUUGAUGUGUCUCUCUGACCAUUGCAUAAAAGCCCUCCUAUUUCUAUUUCUUCACGACUCCGGUCCCCGACUGCUCGCCGGUUGAACACAUGGCCGAAAUCGCGUGUACUCGCCGACGGUGACCUGUUCCGAUGGUGUCGAGUACAGGGGCUCCAUCACUGAUGUUAUCCAAACACAUCCAUGUGCUUAACUCGACCAGUUCGCCACUAAAUCGUAUCUGUCUGUGACAAUAGCAGAGCAAACUCUCCGGCGAGCCCGUUCCGGUUUACACAAGUUGGUCACGUUCAAUCCAAGGACUCGGAACGAAUCAGUGACCUACUAGGACUAUGAUGCUUGCACAAACUUGGACGGAGGCAACCCGAAAUGGCCGGUCGACAUGGCAAUGUCCACGGCGGCGUUCCCUAAGCUACGGGAGCUUCACUAGCAGUAAAGAAUGCUAAAACAUGAACCUGGAAGGCAUGAACUGACCUGAGAAUGGUUGGCCGCAGCGCGAUGCCUCACGGCGGCGACAGCGACCGAUUUGGGGGAAAUUCCAAAUUCUUGGGCUACGGUGGAUGGAUCGAGGUGAGGAGUGGUGCACUGAGCGUGUAACAAGAGGGUGGAACAGGGAGGGCACUCAAUUUAUAGAGACUGGCUAUAGGUGCUACGAAUUUUGGACCGAGGUGAGCUCACAGCGGUGAAGAGAUGAGUCAUCGGAGCUCGUCUACUAUGGCGCUCAAAGGGGUAAGGGCUCGGGACAGUAAUUGGC